rnacentral:rRNA from 1 species
UCCCCAACAGCUAGCCCCUCCCCCCAACCGCAACCAACCACAUUAAUAACCCCAAAUACAAUUAAUCACAUGAAACAAACCAUUUUUCCACCUCAGUAUAGGAGAUAGAAA